GAUGAACGCUGGCGGCGUGCCUAAUACAUGCAAGUCGAGCGAACGGACGAGAAGCUUGCUUCUCUGAUGUUAGCGGCGGACGGGUGAGUAACACGUGGAUAACCUACCUAUAAGACUGGGAUAACUUCGGGAAACCGGAGCUAAUACCGGAUAAUAUUUUGAACCGCAUGGUUCAAAAGUGAAAGACGGUCUUGCUGUCACUUAUAGAUGGAUCCGCGCUGCAUUAGCUAGUUGGUAAGGUAACGGCUUACCAAGGCAACGAUGCAUAGCCGACCUGAGGGGGGGAACCGCCAACUGGGAGUGGACGACCGUCCUGGACCCGAGGGGAGGGCGGGAGGGGGAAGUCGUGCGGAAGGGGGGAAACCUGAACGAGGCAAGCCGGGGUGGUGGAGAAAGGCCUUGGGGUGGAAAACCGCUUUUUUGGGGAAAAAACAUUUUGGUAGGAACCGGGCAUUUUGUGACGGUACCUAAAGAAGAAGCACCGGCUAACUUCGUG
rnacentral:rRNA from 1 species